rnacentral:lncRNA from 1 species
UUAUUCAUCCACAUCUAUGAUGUUUUAUUUUUUAUUUUUUGCUUUUUCUGAAAAUGGUAAUCACAAAAAAAAAACAUAAAUAUAUAAUAAUCUUCCAUCUGCAUAAUAUUUGGUCGCACUCCACUUGUCUAAAAUCAAAAUAUCAAAUCAUUAUGUAGGUUGGUUCUCAAACCCUUUGAAUACAAUGAUCUUACUCCCUCUCCAAACUUUCAUUUCCCU